UAGGGCAAAUCUCCAAAAUAGCACUUUUCUAAGUUUAUAUCACAAAAAUAGCACUCAAAAACUAAAAUGACCAAAAUAGCACAUUUCUAAGUUUAUCAUUUGAAAAUUUUAAUUUUUUUUAUUUUUCAAAAUUUGAAAUCUUAUUCCCAAAACCUCAUUUCUCAACUCUAAACUCUAAACUCUAAACUCUAAACCCUAAACCCUAAACUCUAAACCAUAAACCAUAAACCCUAAACCCUAAACUCUAAACCCUAAACCCUAAACUAUAAACCCUAAACCCUAAACCCUAAAAUCUAAACCCUAAACCCUAAAAUCUAAACCCUAAACCCUAAACCCUAAAUCAUAAACCCCACC
rnacentral:lncRNA from 1 species